rnacentral:rRNA from 1 species
AUUGAACGCUGGCGGCAGGCCUAACACAUGCAAGUCGAGCGGAUGACGGGAGCUUGCUCCUUGAUUCAGCGGCGGACGGGUGAGUAAUGCCUAGGAAUCUGCCUGGUAGUGGGGGACAACGUUUCGAAAGGAACGCUAAUACCGCAUACGUCCUACGGGAGAAAGCAGGGGACCUUCGGGCCUUGCGCUAUCAGAUGAGCCUAGGUCGGAUUAGCUAGUUGGUGGGGUAAUGGCUCACCAAGGCGACGAUCCGUAACUGGUCUGAGAGGAUGAUCAGUCACACUGGAACGGAGACACGGUCCAGACUCCUACGGGAGGCAGCAGUGGGGAAUAUUGGACAAUGGGCGAAAGCCUGAUCCAGCCAUGCCGCGUGUGUGAAGAAGGUCUUCGGAUUGUAAAGCACUUUAAGUUGGGAGGAAGGGCGGUAAGUUAAUACCUUGCUGUUUUGACGUUACCGACAGAAUAAGCACCGGCUAACUCUGUGCCAGCCGCCGCCGUAACAC